GUGCAGCAGGCGCGAAAACUUUGCAAUACACGAAAGUGUGACAGGGCUAUCCCGAGUGCCAUCCGCUGAGGAAGGCUUUUACCCAGUCUAGAACGCUGGGGGAAUAAGGAGAGGGCAAGUCUGGUGUCAGCCGCCGCGGUAAUACCAGCUCUCCGAGUGGUGUGGAUGUUUAUUGGGCCUAAAGCAUCCGUAGCUGGCUAAGUUAGUCCCUUGUUAAAUCCACCGAAUUAAUCGUUGGAUUGCGGGGGAUACUGCUUGGCUAGGGGACGAGAGAGGCAGACGGUAUUUCCGGGGUAGGGGUGAAAUCCUAUAAUCCCGGGAAGACCACCAGUGGCGAAGGCUGUCUGCUAGAACGCGCCCGACGGUGAGGGAUGAAAGCUGGGGGAGCGAACCGGAUUAGAUACCCGGGUAGUCCCAGCUGUAAACGAUGCAGGCUAGGUGUUUGGACGGCCACGUGCCGUUCUAGUGCCGCAGGGAAGCUGUUAAGCCUGCCGCCUGGGGAGUACGAUCGCAAGAUUGAAACUUAAAGGAAUUGGCGGGGGAGCAC
rnacentral:rRNA from 1 species